CAUCAUGGAAACCACGGCGUACGGCGUCCAGCACACCAGGAAACAGGAAAUCAUCAGGAGAAACAUGGCCGCCACCUUCUUCUCGUAGCGCAGGAUCUUUAUAAUCUGGACCGUCUGCAGACCGACAAAGGGAUGUCCAAAGUGUGGCCCGGGGGCCAUUUGUGGCCCAUGUACUACUUUGGUGCCGGCCCCAACUGCAAUUCAAAAGUGAUACAAAUUUGGCCCGUGGAUGUAGAUGCAGACUUAAUUUACAAUCACGAUUUUCCCGGAUCGCCGUGAAGUGCGAUGAGACUCCACUCAGGCUUCGGCGCCGUUCUGGGAAUUUUCCACAGCUCGAAUUCGGGGGUCUCAGAGGAGGGAGCUGCUCACACUUCUAGCAAAAUGACUCACCGAACAGGCUGUUGCUGAAUCCGUCCCAGACGCAGGUCGCCUGGCUCCAGAUCCACCUGCCUUUGACGCACGACGCAAAGGUGAAGUUGAUCCCGAUGACCGACACCAGAAAAUCACUGAGGCUGAUGUUGACCAGCAGCAGCGUUAUUAUGGAUGCUGUGCACCAGGGAAUCAUGACGGGCAGGACUCGUGUCCCAGAAUCCCUUUCUCUCCUCGUCUAUCUAACCACCGGACCAGGAAGUGACCUCGAAAGGAGCAGCAAAAGCAAAGGAGGUGGAUCAGCAUUGUUUGAUGAUGGUGUCAUUCAGGGCAUGUUGCUGGGAGAUAUUUUCUUGGAGCUGUUAGCAGAUCAGGUCAGUCAGGUGACUGCUGUAGCGUAACAGUCUUCAGUCAGAGGCGCCUUCUGAGUCGUUGUACGACGGACUGCUACCAGAGAUCCAUCACGAUCCACAGCUUUUUGGAUGAAUGAAGUAAUUCUGAUUUGAUUUGAUUUGAUUUGGAAACAAACAAAUCAAAUCAGUGGACAAGAUUUAACUGGUUAUGUCACUUUCAUGAGUCUCUUUGUGUAUUUUAUUAGUUAGCAUAAAAUGCUGUUUACGCCUCAGUAUUUCUUAUUUUUACUUUAAAAUCAGGCGACGUCGGCCGCCUUCCACUUCUGACUCGAAACAGUGAAACUGACGACAGCUGGAGCGUCUUCGUUUUCCAGGCCGCAGCUCCAUUUUCCGCUUUUGUUCCCAUUAAAGACGUAAUUACAGCCCACAUAAUGGGCUUUAAGCGUUUAAUUACAUGUACCACUUUAACUGCAGGACCCUCUGGGGCACUUCAGAUCCAAUUAAAAGUUAAUUCAUUAACAUCCAGAGCAUUUCACAGAUGUUUGGACUUUUGUUUUACAUCCAGUCCAGGUGCAAUGUGUGUUUUUUUAAUAUUCAUCGUCUCCCUGGAGCUUCUUGUCCUUAAAGGGGAGAGUUUAGCCGUGGAGUUUAAUGAAGUUAUGGA